CAUGAGUUACAUAAAGAACUUGCCAUCAAUACUCACUGCCAGUUGGUGUUGCUAGGUGUACCAAUGAAGUCCUGAAUGGCAGACAAACACAGUUUAGAGUCACCUGCUGCCUUUAGUUGUCAUGUCUGGCUUGGUGUCUUUACUUGUGUCUUAGUUACUUUUCUUAUUGCUGAGACAAAAUAUCAGACACCCAAGUUAAAGGAGGAAGGAUUUAUUGUACCUCACAGUUUGUAGGGGUUUCAGUUCAUAAUGAGCUGGAUCCAAGGCAGAAUGGCACAUGGCAGAGGGGCAUUGCAGAGGAGAAACAGUUCAUGGUGGGCAGAAGUGAAAUAGCAAGCAGCAAGCGACCAACAAGCUGCUCUUUCUGUCCCUUAUUUCUAGCCCAGCUACAUGCCCUUAGGGCGGGUAGCACUCACACCCAGGGUGGGCCUUCCCAUUAUUCACACCCAGAACUAUGCUGAACUGUAUUAAUUGAUAUUAAUGUGGACUAUAGUUUCUUCUUUCAUUGAGCAGGAUGCAGUCUGUUGCUCUGUUUCUUCAGCUGCAACCCUGGCCUCAGACAUGGCCAGUCAGCACACCUGCAAGUUGGGCCUUUGUCCCUUUGACAUGUGCUCCUCCUCCACGGGCCUGCUGUGAUUUUCCACAAGAAGGCGUUCCAGGCUGUGCACUGGUCCUGCUGUCUCAGUGGAAGUUUGUUUUGAAAGCUAAGCCUGGAGUGUGUGCCUGUGCUAGUGCACUCGCCUGGUCCCAGGCCACCUUGGGAAUUGGAGCUGGGAGUGUUGUGCACGCACACACAAGUGCACACGUGACAUCCCAGUGCUCCUGUGUCCGUAUAGCGAGAUCGGGAGCACAGCAGUACCUCAGUGCCAGUCUGGCUGCAGGGCUCCUCAUUUCCCUCCUUUCUGUCGUUGCAGCUCUAUUCUCAGACAGUGGCUCCAGCCACCCUCAGCGUAACAACCCCUAAUUGCUGCAGAUUUUCUUAUUCAUGGGCAAACUCACUUAUCAGAAAACGUGACAUUGGAGGGGUAGUUUCCCUGCUAAAUCUUUACGUAAGAAGUUAGUUACACUGUUUUCCUCAGCACAAGUAAAACCACUUAUCCUAUAUAUAAGAUCCUAAAUUUCAAGAAAUUUAGGUGACAGAUGCAAGUCAAGCACACCAGUGCUAGAUAAAACACUAUAUCCAUGCCUGUGCCUUGUGGCCAUUGGCAUAUUGUGCUUCUGCAUUUAUUUCCCUGGCUCAGGGAACAGCAAAAGGACUAAUUAAUCCUGUUUUCUAUGUACGCAUCACUCUCUCUGCGAACUUUCCCUGUCCGUUCACAAGCAUUUCCAGCCUCCUUUGCUCUGCCCUGUGUUUACAUGUGAGCUGGAUUUCAGGUCCGUGCUGUCACUCCACAAAUACAUUUUCCUAAGCAGCCCUGGUGUUUGGAACCAAAUCAGUCCCACUGCUCCUGGCUUGAAGAGAGCAUUGAGGAUGUCGGGUGUGAAUGGAGUACUAGUGCUCUGUGUGACUCACCGCUAGAGAGAAGGAAGGUGGCGCCGGGGAGACUAAGCUCUUAAGCGCUGAGCAGCACCUGAGGAACACCGAGCUGGCUCUUCUGCUGGGCAGCCCUGAAUGCCUGGGUGGUAACUGACUCCCGAGGGAAGAGGCUCUGCACGGAUGGCACAGGAGGAGACAGCCGGGUCCUCGGUGUGCUGGAGCUGCCACGUCGGCCUUGGGCGGCCUCUCCUUGCCCUCCUACAGAAACGCAGAAGCCUCUUAUUUAAGUCACUGAGGCUGGACUGAUGGGGACCAGCGGCGGCCUCACAGACGACUCCUGACAUCCGCAGGCUGUGCCUAGUCCCUGGGUUCCUUGCAGGCACCGGCUGCCAUGCCAUCCUCCC
ensembl:lncRNA